GGCGGAGACGCCGCAGUCCUUCGGGAAGUCUGUGAAGGUGCUGCAUGGUUGUCGUCAGCUCGUGCCGUGAGGUGUCGGCUCAAGUGCCAUAACGAGCGCAACCCCUGUCUCCUGUUGCCAUCAGGUAAAGCUGGGCACACUGGAGAGACUGCCGCCGUAAGGUGCGAGGAAGGUGGGGAUGACGUCAAAUCAGCACGGCCCUUACGUCCGGGGCUACACACGUGUUACAAUGGCCGGUACAGAAGGAUGGUGCCCCGCAAGGUGCAUCGAACCUGAAAAACCGGUCCCAGUUCGGACUGGGGUCUGCAACCCGACCCCACGAAGCUGGAUUCGCUAGUAAUCGCGCAUCAGCCAUGACGCGGUGAAUACGUUCCCGGGCCUUGUACACACCGCCCGUCAAGCCAUGAAAGCCGGGAGUGCCUGA
rnacentral:rRNA from 1 species